GGCGGCGUGCUUAACACAUGCAAGUCGAGUGCGCGUUUCCGUAGCAAUACGGGAAUGGCGCACGGCGCACGGGUGCGUAACACGUGGGCAAUCUGCCCUUCGAUGGGGAAUAACCCCGGGAAACCGGGGCUAAUUCCGCAUAACAUUCCGAUAACUAACGUUGUUGGAUUCAAAGCCGUAAGGCGUCGGAGGAGGAGCCCGCGCACGAUUAGCUAGUUGGUGAGGUAAUGGCUCACCAAGGCUAUGAUCGUUAGCUGGUCUGAGAGGAUGGCCAGCCACACUGGAACUGAGACACGGUCCAGACUCCUACGGGAGGCAGCAGUGGGGAAUCUUGCACAAUGGGCGAAAGCCUGAUGCAGCGACGCCGCGUGGGGGAUGAAGCUUUUCGGAGUGUNAACCCCUUUCGACCCGGACGAAUGCCCCGCAAGGGGACUGACGGUACGGGU
rnacentral:rRNA from 1 species